rnacentral:rRNA from 1 species
AUUGAACGCUGGCGGCAGGCCUAACACAUGCAAGUCGAACGGUAACAGGAAGAAGCUUGCUUCUUUGCUGACGAGUGGCGGACGGGUGAGUAAUGUCUGUGAAACUGCCUGAUGUAGGGGGAUAACUACUGGAAACGGUAGCUAAUACCGCAUAACGUCGCAAGACCAAAGAGGGGGACCUUCUGGCCUCUUGCCAUCGUAUGUGCCCAGAUGGGAUUAGCUAGUAGGUGGGGUAACGGCUCACCUAGGCGACGAUCCCUAGCUGGUCUGAGAGGAUGACCAGCCACACUGGAACUGAGACACGGUCCAGACUCCUACGGGAGGCAGCAGUGGGGAAUAUUGCACAAUGGGCGCAAGCCUGAUGCAGCCAUGCCGCGUGUAUGAAGAAGGCCUUCGGGUUGUAAAGUACUUUCAGCGGGGAGGAAGGGAGUAAAGUUAAUACCUUUGCUCAUUGACGGUACCCGCAGAAGAAGCACCGGCUAACUCCGUG